CAGCCGCCACGGGAAUACGAGGGGGGCAAGCGUUGUUCGGAAUUAUUGGGCGUAAAGGGUGCGUAGGCGGUUUGACAAGUCUUAUGUGAAAGCCCCCGGCUCAACCGGGGAGGGUCAUUGGAAACUGGGAAACUUGAGUGCAGAAGAGGAGAGUGGAAUUCCACGUGUAGCGGUGAAAUGCGUAGAGAUGUGGAGGAACACCAGUGGCGAAGGCGACUCUCUGGUCUGUAACUGACGCUGAGGAGCGAAAGCGUGGGGAGCGAACAGGAUUAGAUACCCCGUAGUCCCUGUCUCUUAUACA
rnacentral:rRNA from 1 species